rnacentral:rRNA from 1 species
UACGUAGGUGGCAAGCGUUGUCCGGAUUUACUGGGCGUAAAGAGCGCGCAGGCGGUCAGAUAAGUCGAAUGUGAAAGCCCCCGGCUCAACUGGGGAGGGUCAUUCGAUACUGUUCGACUCGAAGGCAGGAGAGGGAAGUGGAAUUCCCGGUGUAGUGGUGAAAUGCGUAGAUAUCGGGAGGAACACCAGGGGCGAAGGCGACUUCCUGGCCUGUUCUUGACGCUGAGGCGCGAAAGCUAGGGGAGCAAACGGG